rnacentral:rRNA from 1 species
UACGGGGGGAGCAAGCGUUGUUCGGAUUUACUGGGCGUAAAGGGCGCGUAGGCGGCGCGACAAGUCACUUGUGAAAUCUCUGGGCUCAACCCAGAACGGUCAAGUGAUACUGUCGUGCUAGAGUGCGGAAGGGGCAACUGGAAUUCUUGGUGUAGCGGUGAAAUGCGUAGAUAUCAAGAAGAACACCAAUGGCGAAGGCAGCUCUCUGGGACGGUACUGACGCUGAGACGCGAAAGCGUGGGGAGCGAACAGG